rnacentral:rRNA from 1 species
GGACCUACGGGAGGCAGCAGUGAGGAAUAUUGGUCAAUGGGCGCGAGCCUGAACCAGCCAAGUAGCGUGAAGGAUGACUGCCCUACGGGUUGUAAACUUCUUUUAUAAAGGAAUAAAGUGAGGCACGUGUGCCUUUUUGUAUGUACUUUAUGAAUAAGGAUCGGCUAACUCCGUGCCAGCAGCCGCGGUAAUACGGAGGAUGCGAGCGUUAUCCGGAUUUAUUGGGUUUAAAGGGUGCGUAGGCGGCCUGUUAAGUUAGUGGUUAAAUGUCGGGGCUAAACCCCGGAUUGCCAUUAAAACUGGCG